UAUUGUCUAGACUUUUAUCUCCGGGUAUGGAUCUGGAUCUUGCAUUAGUGAGGCUCUGGGGAUACCGACUGUCUCCGCGGUGUGUGCAGUGCAGCCCGUGCCUGCCGGCGAUCACUGGGGGUUUGUUUGGGUCAGUUUAGAAGCAAAAACAAAUUUGUUCUUGGAGCUGUGCAGGUAUACCUAAGUAUUCACGGAAGGAAGCCUGGGAUGGGGAAGGUCUCUUUCUCUCUCUGCCUGGGAAUAUUCUGGAGCGUGUACUUGUGUGUUGGGUGAGAAUUUGUCAUGGUGUGCUUUGUUCUGGGCAUUUUAAGUGUUCCUGUCUGGGCUUUUUCGGGUUUUAUUAACCCGCAUCCGCUUGGCUGGUUUAUGUCCCUUCCAAGCAGAUCAUCUGGUGUUUUUCAGUAUUAGAGUCUAUUGUGUGUGUUUGGCUUCUCUGGGGAAACGGUUUGGGGUGACACCUUCUCAGCCCCUCUCAGGUUCUCCUCCCCACCCCAGUCACAGCUUUGUCCUUCACAGAAUGUCUGGCUCUGUCUCACUCUUUUUCAAGUUCCUCAAAAUCUCCAAAGAGUCUGGCAGUUUUCUGUCACAGGCAUGGAAAACACUGUUGCAGGGUGACCUCUGGGUAUGACUGUCUUUCUCACACUAGGGGGAAGCAUCUCAGCUAAUAACUAACCCCCUGACUUCCUGGAGCUCCCCUUCACAAGCUGAAGGACCAUCAGAAGGGACCUUCUCAGUCCAUUUCAACCAUUUGGAAUACUGUGAGCAGAAUUCUAGGCCAUGCAAAGAAAGCCUGCCACCCCCUCUGUGAGGAUUCCUGACAGCAGAUGUCCCCAUCUUGGCCGCCCUCAGCCCAUAUCCAAAGAAUCCAGGCACUCCAAGACACAGUGGUUGCCUGUGGGUGAAACAUUUAUCUCUUCGGGUCCCAGGGACAGACAUUGUGUGGAAAAAUCAGGAUCCCUAACACCACCAGAAACAAUGAGAUCAAGCCCUUUUGUUUUUCAUAUAAGAUACUGGGUAGGAAGAUAUUAAGGUAAGGAACCUGAUUGUUCUAUCAACUGAUCCUGUCUGCAGCUCCUGGCUGCUGCCACCCAGGCCUCAGACCCACCUCAGGUAUCUUAUAGACAAGACUAGAGACAUUCCCAACCAGGUAGGUAGAGUGGAGUGGAGCUGGUUCUAGAGGUCAGUUUUCCAGUUGGCAAAGUAGAGGUGACCACAAAUGAUGGCGGCAGAGGCGUGAGAGCCCUGGGUUCAGCCAUCAUCACUCUUGAAGCAUCCAGACACCUCCUCUCCCCCUUUCUAUAGAAUUCCAAUUUGGAAAGAAAUAAUUAGGCUUUAAGAUUGCUCCAUGAGCACAGAGGAGCCAAAAACAAGUGAUGAGAUUCAGGGAAAAGGAGGUGAGUUCUCCAUAGAUACCUCUAGAAGGAAGGAAAGAAUCAAGGAUCCAGGUUUAGGCUCCUUCCUCCCAGCUGUUCCCAUCACCGAUUGCCUGCCGAUCAUGAUUGCUGACUGGGCUACUCAGUAUCUCAAAGCCUGUCUCAGGCUCCGCCUUACUCUCCUGCGCCUGGCCUUCCUUCAUUCCUACUUCCUAGCUCUUUGAAACCAAGAAAGACAGAAUAAACUAGCUUCUCCACACCAGCCGGCCGGGACGAGGUGAGUACCAGGUCCUUGCAGCUGGAACUUCGCUUCCAAUCUCACCAGCUGCACACUUCUUUGGUAAUUGCCGGGUUAAAAUGCUCCUUUCUCAUUUCUCUCCUUCUCUCCCUUUCCUUCCACCUCAGGAUCUGAUAAAUAAACAAAUGCAAGCUUACCACUACACCAGCCCUCCCCAUCCCUGUGACCUCAUUCCUACUUACCAAAUAUUUCCCUUUGUUUUCAGCUCAAAACUGUAAUAUUCAGACAGACAUUUAAGCUGUAAAUGAAGUUUUUUCUUUAUGAUGCUUAAUUUUCUCUCCAAUUCUUAAAGUCCUUCUUCACCUCGCUGCUGUAGAGUGGAAGGGAUUUACAAGUCCGCAGGGGCGAUGGGGAGUAAAGAGAUCGUGCCCAGGCUUAGAGACAAUGGGGAAAGAUACAGAAGGCAGAAAGAGGUGGGGGCAGCCCCAGCAGGCAGAGAGCAGAACCAGAGGCAGAAAAGAAGAGAAAAGUUUCCUGGAGUAUUCAUUCGCUGACUUCCCUGUCCACAGCUUCCCGGGGCUGCAGAAUUCACCCCCAAUAAAGGAAGGGGGCUUUUUUUUAAGUCCUGCGUUUACAACACCAGAAAUGCCAAGGCUAAAUCCUUCUAGAGAGAAAAGCUGAAACGGAGGACCGACUCCUUCCUUGUAAGUAUUAAAGAAGGCAGACCUAUGCAGACAAAGUGAAUCCAAGCUAAUAUCCAAAAUGAAAAUGAAACUGGAUCAGAGAACUUCAACCAGAUCUCAUCAUUUCUCCACCGACUUUCAAAUCUGUAAGCUCUUGCCUGGGACCUCCUUGAUUUAAGGCUCGUUGGAGCCAGCCGAAGCCCUCACCAACCCAGGCAGAGAGAGCAAGAGCCGAAGGAGGGAAGAGAGCGCCAGGCAUAGACCAAAGGGAACCACCCAGAAAUGUGGGGAAAGGAGCCGGUGGACGUCCCCAACAGUGGCAGAAGGAAAAUAGACACACCCGCACGAAGAAAGGUUCAUGUUUUUUGUUUGUUUGUUUGUUUGUUUGUUUGUUUGUUUGCGUUGUCUUUUAAAUUUGUAUUUGGAGCUCACUGAAGAAAAGUCAAAUUUCAGGCCAGAGGACAGAAAGAGUUAUCUGGGACCGUGUGACCAGCCCAGAAGGAAGAACUCCGGACAAACCCGAGUGGGCGCCAAAGCAGUCGCUUCUGGAGGCUGGGCCCUGGAAGACCUCCUGGAGGCCUCCGGAGCUUCUUUGCUCUCCUUAUCAUUCUCAUCUUUAUGACGAGGCUUGUUAACAUGACCAGCGAGCUGGCCAUGUACAUCUAUCUCCACCACACACGCGCGCUCAGCCGAGCAGUCGCCGGCGGCGGGGGGACAGGGAGGCACUAAUUAAUUGGUUCCUUUGGACUGUAAAAUAUGGCCGCGUCUACACGGAACCUGUGGGCUCAUAAACAAUCUCUCUGCUGAGUGCGAGUGUACUGUCUCUUAAAGAAUCUUUCUAUAGGUAUAUGUAUUAGAGUCCCAGGUUUGAAAGACUCAAAUAAGAUUGUUUUUUCACAAAUCACAACCCAGUUCAGUGUCGGAAAAUGGACCUGCAAAAGUUUGUGUUAUGGGACAGGUUUUCUCUGCUGCUUGUGUAGACCCAGAGAUUGGCCUCUGUUAGGAUCAAAA